GGGCGAGUAGCUCAGUUGGUUAGAGCGCCUGCCUUACACGCAGGAUGUCGGGGGUUCGAGUCCCUCCUCGCUCA
rnacentral:tRNA from 2 species